CAUGUAUGUAAAAUUUGUUAAAUAUUCUCAUAAUCGUUUGUUUCAUAUCAUAAAACUGCACGCGACUGGAUGUAGUUAUAAAGAGGCCACAGAGGCUCUGCAACGAACGGUGGCCAAAAGUAUUUUCACAGCAUAUAGCCUGGCAACAACUCACCGCUCGAGCAUAAAAGAAUAUUGAUCAAGCGCCCUAGCAGAUAGACGUAAAGCCUGGUGAACACAAAGACGCUAACAUCCUGCAGAAAAGUUCAACAUGGCUGACAACACCGUACGGUCGGAAGAUGUGUAAGGACAAAAGUGGGAUCGUUGCAUUACAGACACCGGUUUACUGUUAACUGUUGAGUUAUCGAUCCGGACAGAACUUAAGUGUGCACCACUGCAGUAUGAUGACAUUUAAGUUUUAUAGACUUUCAUGCAAUAGAUACUGUCACACAGCUCCGGACAUUGAAAGUGGAAGGACGGAGAACCACACAGAAACAAUAUCGGCGAAUGCUGAUGUAUAUUUGUUUUAAGUUUCGUGAAAUAGGUACUGUGAAAUAGCUCCGGACGUACAACCUUCCUGAAUUUCAAUCUAUUAAGGGGCAAUAAAUUAAUAACGCGUGCACCGCAGUAUGAUUGAACACAUUCAUAUUAAGUUUAAUGAAAUUUAAUAAAUAAUUAUUGAUAAACACCUCCGGACAUCGCCAAAAUAAUAUUCCUUCACUGUCUUAGAAGGGUAAAAAGCCAUCAUAAUGGAGGUGUCAUUUUGUCUACUUACAAGAGUUGGCGCAUUCGGAUUAAAUGCGUAUUCUACAUGCAAUAAUAAAUGCAUGCAAAAAUAAAUAUCUUUCUUGCAACAAGCGUAAAUCUACUGCAAAUCUUAGCAAAACAUUUGCAAACGUAUGUGCGUGUGUAUAGUGACGCAAUCAUACGUUUUUCCAUAGGUAAUUUGUUUCUUAA